UAAAGGUAGAAAAGCGAACUUCGGGCUGCGUGGUGAGAAUCGGUUGUACCAAGUAGGAAAGGCUGCUUUCUCGGACGGCGGAAACUGUAUACGACGUCGUUUUAUUUACUACUUCGGCGAACCUGCAGCUCUCUCUACACAACAAACAAAAACAACUGCACCUAGUUUGCAAUGCCUUUACCACUUUCAAAGUAAACGGUGAAUGAACGUGGUAAAAUAAAAAAUGAACUUGAAGCAAAUUAACAACCUCAAUAAAAUAUUUCCCGACAUUUUCUUAGAGGCAAUAAGACGCAUGCUAAGACCCCAAUUGCGGAUGGGUAAAUAAUUUGUCACACCCAAUCAACUACAUACAUCGAACGAUGAAUUGAUGAUGAAAAUCGUGACCCGUUUAUAAGAAUGGAAUAUGGAUGUGUUUCGCCGAUGCUUUGUUGAACGUGAAUUCGUAGAAAUAACAGGGUAAUGGCGAUGCAUAAAACGAGCCUAUUGUUACGUGUACAUGAAAAGCCAAACAAGAGACACCAUCAAUGAUGAAUAUCGACGAGCGUGCUACAUUGUUACAGAAGGUAAAAAUAAAUGCAGCUCUCCAUUUUUUUUCAAUCUCUCUUUUUGUUGAGGAGUUGAUGAUGAAUUGCGUGCCUUGGUUGACGGACUUUACUG